rnacentral:rRNA from 1 species
AGACACCAAGGGGAGGGAGAAAGGGGGAAUAUUGGACAAAGAGCGCAAGGCUGAUGCAGCGACGCCAGGUGAGGGAUGACGGCCUUCGGGUUGUAAACCUCUUUCAAUAGGGAAGAAGCAAAAGUGACGGGACCUGCAGAAGAAGCGGCGGAUAACUAGGUGCCAGCAGCCGAGGUAAUACGGAGGGGGGGAGCGUAAUCCGGAAUUAUUGAGAGUAAAGAGCUCGUAGGCGSUUUGUCGCGUCUGCCGUGAAAGUCCGGGGCUCAACUCCGGAUCUGCGGUGGGUACGGGAAGACUAGAGGGAUGUAGGGAAGACUGGAAUUCCUGGGGUGACGAUGAAAUGGGCAGACAUGAGGAGGAACACCGAUGGCAAAGGCAGGGCUCUGGGCAUUAACUGACGCUGAGGAGCAAAAGCAUGAGGAGCGAACAGGAUGAGAUACGCUGGUAGGCCAUGCCGCAAACGAUGGGAACUAGGUGCGGGGGACAUUCCACGCUUUCCGCGCCAUAGCUAACGCAUUAAAUGACCCGACUGGGGAGUACGGCCGCAAGGCUAAAACUGGAAAGAAUUGACGGGGGCGCGCACAAGCGACAGAGCAUGCAGAUUAAUUCGAUGCAACGCGAAGAACCUUACCAAGGCUUGACAUGAACCAGUAACGCCUGGAGACAGGUGCGCCACUUGCGGUCGGUUUACAGGUGGAGCAUAGUUGUCGUCAGCACGCGUAGUGAGAUGUUGGAGUUAAGUCCAGCAACGAGCGCAACCCUCGUUGUAUGUUGCCAGCACGUGAUGGUGGGGGACUCAUAGGGAGACUGCCGGGGGUCAACUCAGAUGAAGGGUGGAGA